UCAACGCAGAGUUCCUCGGUCGUGGUCGUACCAGCGCUCUCGCCGACCGCCACCCUCUUUCCUCCAGGCAAUGCCGCCGCCGCCGCCGCCGCCGCCGUCUUUGCGCUAGAGUCCUUGUCGCCCGCCUUCCUCUUGAGCCUGGCCCUGCGGCCGCUGCCUCCUCAUCAAUCUCCUCCUCGAUUCAUCGCGGGGAUUGGCGGCGGCGGGCAGAGGAGCACGAGAUCCGGGCGAUGACGGGGAGCCCAAGCUCCAAGCGGAGGUCGGCAGCGGUAUUGGGCGGUGGCGGCCAAGCGCGCGACCAGGACGCGGGGUAGCGGUGACUUGGGAGGCGAGUGCGAGGCACGGGCGGUGGCGUGGAGCACGGGAGCGCAAGGCGUUGGGAGGAGGUGGCACGGGCGAGCAGGUGGUAGGAGGUCGCCCCUUGCCCUCACCCUCGCCGCGCGCAGGGGCAGCGCGGGGCAGCGGUAGCCGGCGGGGCACCCGCUCCGGCUGCCGCCCGCACCCUCGCCCCUCGCUCUUUGCUAAGAAAGGAGAAGCUUUUUGCCGUUUAACCCCCUCUCUUCUCUUCUUUUAUCACCUGAACCCCUUUCUCUUUAGAAUGUGGACUGCGGGUUGAUUUCUAAAAACUUCAGGGGCUUUUUUGCAAAAUAGGACGACGGACGAAAAAAAUAUGGCAGAGACACUACUUGCUUUAAUAAUAUACUAGCAAAAUGCCCGUGCGUUGCUACGGUGAAAUGAUAAUCAUAUUUUUAAAACUCGUGGGUUUUUUUCCUAUUUCUAUCACUAUAUAUUUAUUGCAUUUCUGUUAACAUAUAUCCUUAUCACUAUAUAUUUAUUGCAUUUCUAUUAACAUAUAUCCUUAUAUUGAAAUAAUUAUUCAUUGAUGGCCAUCAGCCGUGGCUUCUUCUCAGGGUCGGACCCGUCGUACUGCUUCAACUCCUCUUGAGUCUUAAUUGUUUGCCUUACCGUUUUUGGCCCAAUAUCUCCCCCGACAUGGCAGCUUAACUUCGCACCUGGCUCGUAGCCAUCCAUCUGGAUUGGGCGGUCGAGACACUCACGAUGCAAAACACAACUCGGUUCCAGCAUCUCAUGUGAAAUCCUAAGGUGACGUUUGGACGGUGGAUGUGAUAUGAAAAUGGAUAUAAGAUGGGAUACGGAGAAGUAGAUUAUGGAUUGGGAAAUAAAACUCCAAUCCGAAUCCAUGGUUUGGCUGUGCUUAGGAAAUGGUUUGGAUUUAAAGCGGAACCCACGUGCAAUAGAAAAAGAAAGGAAGAGGACUUGGCCGUUUUCUCUUUUUGAUGCAACGGCACCGUCAUAAUCCAAACUGCGAGGCACCCUUAUCUCUGGUUCUCUCUUCUCUUCGUCCACGCUGGACCUUACCCCGUAUUCGUGUUUAGGUUCUUUAAUUUGGGUCUAGAUUUUCUACGGGACCCACAAACUAAUUAAAAAAGGAUGGUCCUUAUCUUUUGGUGCCUUGUUCGUUCACAACCACAUGGUGCUACUCGAGCUCCGAGGCGAGCAGCACACUCUGCCACAGCACGACAAGACCGAGGCUUCAGCUGCGUGCGAUUCGAGUGGCGGCGGCGACCACUACGCGCGGCACCUGCGGUGGCGAGCACCAUGCGUAGCAUCUACCGUGGCUGCGCUCCCGCUCGUGUGGCUGCGGUGGCGGUGGCUUCGCUUCCCUCCGCGUAACUCCGAGCGCAAGCCAUGCGGCGAGCUCCGACGUCCACAGCAUGCUCCGGUCCCGACACUUCAAGCUGCUGCGGUUCCUCUCGCUUGUGCGCGCGUGUGGACAACGCACGGGCAUCAGUAUUAUGGGGAGCUCCAGGCGGCGGCUGCGGCGGGGGAGAUCUGGGCGGCCGCGGAUGGGAAGCUCCAGUUGGCGAGCUCUGGGUGGCGGCUUCAGCGGGGGAGAUCCAGGCAGCUGCGGAUGGGGAGCUCCAAGCGGGCGCGUGGCGCCGCCUCGGCAACGGGCGGGCGGCGCGGCCGUGGUGGGGCGCCCCGCUCCGGCCGCUGCCCGCGCCCCGUCCCCCUCCUUGGCCUCCUUGUUUUGGAUUGGAGAAAGGAGAAGUUUUUUCCCUUUAAACCCCCUCUCUUUCCUCCUUUUUCAAUCCGACACCCAAACUAUUCAUAAUAAUGGACUGCGGGUUGAUUACACAAAACAACAGGGGUUUUUCUGCAAAAAUACCACGACGUACGAAAAAUCUGGCGGAGGCGUUACUUGCUUUAAUAAUAGGUAUAGAUAUAGAUAGGUAUAGAUGAACAAACUAACACCGAGCUGCAAUUUCGAGCAUGGGGUAACUCCUUGCACGUCAGAUAAUACGGUGAAGGAAAAUGGUCAACUAGCUAUUUGCGGAUGCAGCCUACGCGUGCAUGCAUGCGUGCAGGGUGCUCAACGGCACGCAUGGAAUCCGGCCGGCGGCGCCCAAAGCUCACAGCUCAGUCCAUUAUCGGAGCUUGCCACCACGUAUGGCCUAUGCUUUGGUUGGAGUCUCGGCCAAGCCGCAGUGCUCGGUCAAGUAGUUUGGUAAGCGGGUGCGAGGGAUCAGGGCGCAUCAUCCGGGCAGAGCCUCAACGAACACUACUGCAUGGAUCGCGUCCCGGGAGGGCCAGCUGGGCGACGAAGGCGAUAGACAGACUAGGGAGGACACGGUGCUCUGCUCCUCCGUCCCGGGAGCCGGGGCAAGGCCGGGACAUACGCAGCUCGUCUCCUCGCACGCCUCCACGUCUCCACGCCAUGGGCCCGAGGAAUGGAGCUCCGUGGCGCCGCCGUUGGCCGGCCGCCAACGAUUAUGUAUCCGGAUUCUAAGUCUCUCGCUGCUCGCGGAAGAACAGAUGAGAGCACCCACCCCCUGCUGUGCUUUCCCUUUCCCUCCUCUGCUUCUUCUGCUUCUCCUCCUCCUCCUCCUCCUUGUAGAAUAAUGGUAGAUCUCAUCUGUCAAUUGUAUUCUUUAUGAUCUUUGGUUGAAUAUAAAGGGACGCUAUUUAUAUUCUGAUUGUUGUCAGUGCAAUAUGCGAUAGUUUUCUGAAAUUUACUAUCAUUAAUAUCUCUGAAAGUGAUCACCUUCACCUAGCAACAGACCUUAACCGAACCUGUGAGUCCCUGAUAGGAGAACAUUCAGCGUUGUCCUCUGAAAUGAGUUUCAGCUUUUGCAUCCUCUGAAAUGAGCUAGGAACGUCUCUGAUAUUGUUUGUAUUCUUCCACUAUCUCCAGUUUUGACAUGUGACUUCACCCACCCUCCCAAAGUCAGUGUAGAUCGUUUCAUGUAAAGUUGUAGACCAUGACUGUUGCUGACUUGCUGUAGUGAAGCAGGCUCUUCAGGUGCCUGUGCCUCCUCAACUCUAACUGAUGUCUGGCGAUUCGGGUACUGCUACUUGCUAGGUUGUCUUACCACUCGGAGCUACGCAAUGCAGAUUUACCUAACUCAGCAUGAACGCCUGAGAGACUAAACAAAACUUAGAUAACAAGAAUAAAGGAAGGGUCAACUCAGUGGAAGUAUUUUGUGCAACAACACGCAUAAGUACAUCUUCUGAGCUGCAUAACAUGAUCAUGAUCAUACAUCAGUGAACAAUUAGCAAGUAAAUCAUAGACGAUACGAAUUAACUCGAAACUCUCACAUUUCCUGUGCUACAGGCACACAUAGGAUCUAUAGACGAAACAAUUGCUACUCUGAAACGAUGUUCCUUUUACUGCUAACAAUUGAAAGAAAAUAGUCAAAAAUAAAUAAAUAAAUGUUAUACUUUGUGUUCUCGAUGACGAUAGUUGAAAUUUGACAAAAGAAGGUUUGAACAUCCUCUCCCUUUCAGAGUUUCAUUGAGACCAGAAGGAGCUGUAAUCACACAACACAAUCUGACAGUUCCCACAAGAUGGUGAGAAGGCCAAAGGACGUUGAUCUGACAGUUCCACGUACUCAUGCUGGAAGGAACACUGUCAAAGGUUAAUUCAGAUAGCAAAAACACAAGAGAAAAAAAAACGGAUGGGGAUCAUCAGACUAGGCAUGAACUAGCGGAGAUGGAGAUGCGCAGUUGCCACUGCUGUUCGAUGAACAACUCCCAAGUCGUUCCGCGAUAGCAAAUGGCAGAAUGGAGAUUCCUGCCGCACCGCAUAGCGCGUCAGCGCUUAGCCUCGUCGGCGGCAUCUCCGACGCCCUGGCCGCCCUGGCCACCGCAUCAGCAUGUUCAAGCCGAUUUCACCUACGUCCUCCUCCGCUUCCACACCUCCGCCUCCGUCUGUGAUCAUGUUCCUUUUUUUUUUAAUCCAUCAUGUUCUUGUUUCUGUGUGUUAGACUUGAUCUAGAGUCGGGGUGAGUCUGGCCUACUUGUUCAGACCGAUCGAUGUUUCGAAUGAGAUCACUCUGGUUCUGGUGCAAGAAUCAAAUUUUAGUUUCAUCAUGAGAGUCAUUAAAAAGGGACAUUUACGUUUAUUCCGGUACUCAUCCAUUGUUACAUUGUUAGCAUAAGGAUCAUGUCAUGAUAAUGCAGUACUAGUCUCACAAAAAUAACCAACGCUAUCUGAAAUGCAUUCAUUCUUUGACCUCUGAAAUUUAGCUUACAUGCUUGUGUCCCUUACGCCAACAAGCACACACGAACAGUCAGCCCACACAGAGCAUGUGACACAAGCAAAAGCCCAUGGUGUUCCAACAUACCAUCGAUCAAUAGAAACUUGCACGCCAGUCAAAUUGAAGGCAAGCGAACUCGUUACCGUGUUGAGUUUAUGCAUUAACACCAAAAACCUGCCUGACAGACUUACCCAUAUGUGAAGUUCAGUUGGAACCUCAUACCAAAACAUACAAAGUGUUCCGCGAGGGGUUCACAAUGUUACAAUUUGCAUGCCCAUACUCGAGAAUUUUAAAAAGGAGACCAUGCCGAAUGCAAUAAAUCCUACAUAGAACAAAUACACCCAGCCAUAACAUCAACACAAAACUUAAAGGUUAGUUCAUCUUUUGUAGCCACAUGAAGAGCCGUAACAUUAGUUUUGAUACUGUCAUUUCUGUGCUAUCAUCAAAUUUCCUCAAUCAAUUUGUAUUGAUAUAUAAUAGAUGACUACUGGCUCAUACCAUACCAAACACAGCAUUCUUAUCCGCCAAAAAAACAUGAGCCUCUAGCCCAGAAACUGUACACACCUCGUAACUCCGAAGGUAAAAGAUACGGGUCAAAAAUAAUAAUAAAAAAUUUGCACUAUUUUCUUCCGACAAUGUGAUCUUCACCCAAAUAUCAAGAGCACUUCUUGAACUGAAUAGCACGAGCAGUUUGACAUACCAUUAGCAUCUCACAUAUCUGAGUUGUAAGUCAUUCAGUUCUCAAUGUAUCGAGGUAUACAAGCCAAAAAAUCACCUAGUGUAAACCAAAAAAAGGUUAUAUCAGACAGAGCUAGCGUUAAAGUAGAUGGAGAGGGAGUAUCUAAGUCAGGACACCUACCGCCAAUCACAAUGCAUCCGCACUCUUACCACCUCUCUUGCUAACUAGUUCACAGAGUCGGCAAGGCAGCGUGUCAAGGCUCAUUUCACGGGCCCUGCCAAAGUUACCCAGAACACCACAGCGUCUCCAUGCAUGGUAUUCUGCAUAGGCUACAGGGUCAUUUGCAAGUGCUUUCACAUAUGAUGCCAGUUCUUUCAGAGAGCUGAAUUUGGAAGCAUCUAUAAUAGAAUUGGGAGGAACAAAAUCCCAGACAUUGGCUGCCCCAAAGUAUAUGGGCACCGAUCCAGCCUCCAAAGCAUAGAACAACUUCUCAGUCACAUAACUUUCUGUCUUGGUGUUCUCAAUUGCAAGAACAAACUUGUAAUGUGACAUUGCGCAGUGUAGGUGAUCCCACCAGUGUGGUGAACCAUUAUCAUUGGUGGAGCAAACUGGAUACAUAGAUAGCGCCAUGUCAGGACCACCAACAUUGUUCAAACAUCUGCCAAAGGAAUGGUGUGGCACCAAUGUGAGAAAAUCUUUUGCAAGCUUGUCUCUGUGAGGAAGGCACCUUGAAGAUGACCAGUAAAUAAGUGCAUCCUGAUACCAGACAGGGAAAUCAAAAGUUCAUAAGAUUAAAAUGAUGCGAGGGAGAAUUACUACAGCAGGACUCAUUCUAUCUGAUAAAAUGUAGCACUGAUGCAACAGCAGACAUGCAUGACUUCAUCUUGUGACAGUAAAACACAAAAUUACAGAAAAAUACAGAAGAUUUGGUACUGUGAACACUCGUCCCCCACUCUAUAUCAUCUUGCGAUCACUCUUUGCAUCAUCCCCCACAUAACUGUUUCAGGCUUGCCAUAAAAAGGUAAAAAGAAGUGGAAAACCUUCAGUUAAGAUGGGUCUCUAUGCACCUGCUAAUAAUCUAGAGUAAGCCAAUUUGUAGAGUUGUAGACAUUGUCUACAUUUUCUAUGGACAAAGUUCAAACAACCAAUGCUGGACAGGACAGUUCCCAUAAAAAAUUAUGAGUAAUACACUGAUACUCAUGUUAAGGAAAAACAUAGCUGGAGUUAGGAAGUGCACAGGGUAUUAAAAUUACUAUUUUUGUAAGCCAAGUAAAUUGUUGCCUUGAUAUUACUAUGCAAUGGAAUUUAUACUUUUAGACUUACAUUUUUCUUUUCAGUUGAUAUAUGAUAGCUCCGGCUGGUGUGAAAUGAUUUUCCAGCGUAGGUUAUUUGCACAUCAUCAUUCGCAUGGUAACCUAUAAAAAUGUCCUCAAAACCUGUUGGCUUUCUACUAGCCUCCAGAUCCAGAUAAACACGAAGAGGCAGUCCUUUCAUUCUCUGCAAAACAUGUUAGGGAACACUUAAAAAUGAGAAUCAGAUAGAUGUAUAUACUUAAUCAGUUUAUAAAACAAUGAAUAAAUAAAUCUUAAAUUAUUCAAAAAGAGAAUAAGUGUUUGAUUCCACGCAAGUCCAAUGAAAGAUGGCAAACUUGCAAAGCUGUAGCCAUGCCACUGACCAAACCUUUAGCUACCAAAUGACCAACCAGAACUGCCAAAUUAACAGACAGAAAUAAGAUGCAAAGGAAAGAGGCGGCAAGCAAUCCACAAUACUGAUACGGACAGGUUACAGGUCCCAGCUUCUGAAUUUUUCAUCAAAGCAGCAGAUCAGUGGGAAACAAUAUCUGCUGUUUCACCAAUUUACUACAUUAAACAAUUCAAUUAGAAGAACUGGUAUCAUGAGUGCUCCUGCUCCCUCCAUUUUAAAUAGAGUAAAAUUACAUCAACAGUCCGUGAACUUGUUACUGUGUAUCAAUGAGGCCCAUAAACUUAGAAAAUGCAUUUCCAUAUCACUAAACUUGUCAAAUGCAGCACCACAGGUCCAUAUGGUCCAUGUCAGCACCUGGAUGCUGACAUGGUGGGAGCUAAUUAGUUUAUAACGUCAUGAUUUAAAAAUGGUGGGAGCAUCCCACAUUUCAACAAGAAACUAAGAUUCGGACAAAAUAUUUUGCCACAUUUUCAAAAAAAAUAUUUUGCCAUGUCAUCAAGUGUACACAAACAAACUUAGAACACACUUCAAAAGCAUUUUUUAUAACCUAACCAACAUUUUAAAAGGGCACACAUGCUACCAUCGGCACCUGUUAGGUACUCCUACCUCUUUCCCCAACAGAAAUGGCCCCAAAUUUUUCUUCUUCUUUUUUUUGGUAUACCAAUUCUCUGAUUCCACGAAGGAUUAGAAUUCAUCGCCAAUUUGAUCUCUGAAGUUCCAAGUGCCAAAUUUAGCAGCUAUCAGUUCAUCAUAAACAGGCAGCUCGCAGCUGACGCCUCAUUUUUCAAGAAAACAAGUGAUCCCCCCAUCAUGACUGGACAAGAAAAGAGGGGAAGAAGUCGGGUACCUGCGGCGGCGGCGUGGCGCCCUCGAAUAGCAGCGCGUCGGGGCGGUCGACGGCGGCAGCGGACUUGCUCCAUACGCAGCUGACCCCGCAGCGGCACGUGUAGACCCCGUCGAGCGCGUCGGGGAUCCACGUCCACCCCUUGACGAGCACCCCGACGUGCCGCGUCGCCAUCUCCUCGCACUUGGCCCCGCCCCACGCCGCGCCGCCGGUGAUUGCCGCGGAAGCCGAGGCCUCGGCGGUGGCGUUGGCGCCGGGCAGCUCCCCGGCGGCGAGCUUGGCGCGGAUGCGGGGGCACCCGACGGCGGCGUCCCAGGCGUUGAAGGCCUCGAGGAGGGAGGUGAAGGGGUUCCGGUCGCGGGAGCCGACGGAGUCGAGCGCGGUGGGGAAGCGGGUGGCGCCGCCGCCCGGGAGGACGGGCGCGGGCGUGGAGAGCGAGGAGAUGGAGGGGAGCUCGAAGUAGCCGGAGAGGAGGAGGAGCAGGAUGGCGGCGGAGGCAAGCAUCGGGGCCACGUAGUUGAUUCGCUUCCGGAAGAGCAUCGGGGGUGGCGUCGGGAACCUUCUAGAUGCUUCCACCGCGCGCCCGCUCGCCGGUGCGCGAGGCGAGACCUCGAAGAAGGGGAGAAGCACUCAAAGAAGGAGGAAGGGAGAAUAUGAGGGGGCUUUUACGCAAAAGUUGCAGGCUUUGGUUUUGCCGCUGGCCCGCUUUGGCUUUUCUUUCGUUGAGGUGUUUUAUCGUUUGGUCCUUAGAAAUCUGGUAUUUUAGAAAGGGUGGAGUAGUGGUUGGACUGGGUGGUAGGACGGCAGGGGCGGCCGCCGGUCGGCGGUGGUGGUUGUUUACCAUUUUCGAUGAAUUUUGGAGUACGUCUGCUUGCACGUGUCAGCUGACUAUCAUUCCUAGACUUUGACUUUUUUUUGACACCAGGAAUUACUAUGGGGAUAAAAUAUUUAUAUUGCAAUACAUGAAGUACCUACGGAUUAUGACUCCUUCCUUAUUGUUUUCUGGUUCCAAGCUGAAAGAAAAAUACAUAGUUCAACACCAAUAAGCAGUAUCAUAAGUCUCAAUGAGAACUAUAAAACCACUUCAUUCAAAGAAUCAUCAGAACAACCUCGACACAGCGGUCUAAUGGAUAGAAAGCUGAAGUAUGUACAUUGAUCUGAAUUUGAGUCUAAGAACCAUGAGAACAACCUUGACACAGUGAUCUGGUGGAUAAAAAGGUUGCACUAUCUGAAUUUGAGUCUAUUUAUGGUCUGUACGAGAUCAUGACAAUUUGCUUGUUACAAAAUCAAUCCGAAGGGAAAAACAUUUCUUUAGAGCAUGCAACAUACAUUUUUCUAUGGGUUAUUACCAACAUGGUAUAUUCAGACAUAUAAUAUUCAAUUCGGUUUUAAACUGAACGUUGGAAUGUAGUUUGACAACUUUCAGAAUUAUUAUAGCGAUUGACUCAAUAUUAAACGUAACUAAGCAGUGACUAGUAAGAUUAUCACAUGGUCUAAACCAAUGUUAUAUGACACUAACUAUCGCUAAACUAAGGUGGUGAUGAUAAAUGUACUGAUUUAGUUAGUUAAGGGGUUGAUUUACACCAAAUGGAACAUAAGGGAUGAAUCACACUUUUGCAAUACUUGAGGGAUGAAAAAUACAUUUUUUUUCUUUUUUUAAUGCAAAGCAAAAAUUACGGGUGCUUUCAACAUUGUAAUCGUGUGAUCGGAGGUGCGAGCUGGGGCUGUGUGAGUGUGAUCUGUGUGACAUGCGACGGGUGUGCUUGCAGUGGUACGUGCAAUGGUGGUGAGGGUGAAAGGCCCCCGUCCUCGUCCUCUCCUCCACGUCUGUCCGUCGUGGACAAGUUGAUGUGGACGAUGAGAAGAGUUCAACAAGGAACACGCCAAAUUAGUCUGAUUUUUUUUAGACUAGCCAAACUAGUCUGAUGAUCAGAUAUCUAUCUGGGCUCGACCGUGGGCGCUAUGUCUGAUGAUCAUAUAUCUAUCUGGGCUCGACCGUGCUCUGGGCCAAGCCUAUUUUGGGUCCACAAUAAACUGGGCUAUUUUUGUCCGCCUGGUCCGGCCUAUGAUUAUCAGCCCGCAGCGCAGAUUGUUGACCAAGACCAACCCGGCCCAACAGAAAACAGCAACCAACUCCGCCCACCACCCCACCACCGCCACCUCGCCGGCUCCACGCAAACUCCGCCCGCCGCCCCAGACCCGCCGCCGCGGCAGCUCACCAGCUCCGGCGAUUCCAGACCAGCCGUUUCCUAACCCGGUGCCAGUGCCACGCACCCCGCCGGGCGGCGGGGAGGGCAGCACGGUCCCCCUUGCUUCUCCCGUACCCCCCCCCCCCCCCCCCCCCCCCCAGUCGUGGCUCGCCCCGAAACCCCCGCUGCCAGAGGCUGAAACCGUUCCCCCUUCCGCGCCUGCUGUACGGUUCUUGCUUUUAUUCGACUGCUCUUUCUUUCUCCGUCUUGAAUUUGGGUUCGGCUAGGCGCGCGAUAUCCGCGCAUUGUACGAACCUGUAUCAGGAUCGUGUCUUGCGUCGCCUUUCUGUACUUCGGAGUCCUGUCUCUAAAGUUGAAUCGUUUUGCCUCAGGAGGGGUCAAGGUGGGAACAACGAUCUGGGAGGGAAGAACCUGAGCAUGCUAGCCACUGGAUUAGGUCAGUGUUAAGUUUCCGCCUCACUCCUUCCAGUUUUAAAGCUUUCAGACUAUGCAAGUGACACCAUUUCCGCAUCGGUUUGGUACCCAAUACCGUGAAUCUGGAGGUAUUUCUGCCUUCAUUUCUUUAGAUAAAAUGCGAGUAUGAUUCAGCUAGCUGCUAAUCUUCAUGCUAUCUUUAGUUUUAAAGCUAGAAUUGUUUUGUAUCUUGUAAAUGUCUGUUUGUAUCUGUAAAUUAGGUUUGACCAAAUUAUUUAACUACCGUUAAGGUAAAUGCCACACUCCUUGGGUAGUUGGAUCUGACCUUAUUUUAACCCUGUAUUUUGAGUACUCUAUGCUGGAUCAUUUUGCUGGGAAAUAUGACCUUGGUGCUGUUUCAAUUUCAGUGUGUUGUUUUCCUUCAAACAGUUUUUCCAAACGCUAAUCCAAAGAUGACUCCUUAAUUUUUAGUUUAUCAUCAGAACAUGGAUAUUUUUACAUUAGUCAGUCAACUUCUUUGCUAUCCCCUGUUAUCCAGUCGAGUUACAGAGAUUCUGCAUCUUCAUUGAUCACCCAUUUUGUUUCCCAGGGGUGUGACAUCUGCAAGCACACAGUUACUACAAUACUACUGGUAGCUUCGAGCCAUGGAAUAUUUGACAGUCUGAGAUAGGGUCCAAUGAACGUCAAAGGAAAUACAGAGGUGAAAAAUAGCUUUUGCAAAUUUUAUCCGUGAUGUGUAUUUUAAACUUAUACCUCAAUGAAACUUUGUACAGAAUAUAAGGUGCAACUGUUACUCCAUUCCUAUUUACCCUGAAUUCCACUAUCAUUUGAUCACAUCAAAUUCACACAAUAUCAGUUUUCCUCCAUUUUAAAUGGACCCUCGUCCUCCCAGUGGCUCCUCAUCAAAUUGUAAGAGUUGUCCAAAUGAGCCAUUGGGAAGGCCCAAUCCUAUGAACUUUCACCACACACAAUUUCCACACCAUGUGUCGUUUUCACAACCAUCGCAUUCCAUGAACUUCCCCCAUCAUCAAUAUCCACAGCAACACCUAUACCCACCACAUGUCCAAUAUGUUGUUGUCCAACCACAAUACGGUCCUUUUUCACUACCACAACCUCCACCUUCCAGGGCUAUGUUGACACAGCCACCACCUCCACCUCCACCAGCUGGAGUUAUACCAUUACCAUUACCAUCAUCGCCACUUCCUCCUCCACCUGCUGGAGUGGUACCAUUAUCAGUGUCAGAGUCAGGCACCCCACAUUCAGUAACUGGUCCGGAUGAACAAGACAUUGUUAGUGUAGGCAAUGACAGGAAUGCUGAACCUGAUAGAACCUCUUGGCGACUGAGUUGGACAGAAGUGGAGAACUUAAGAUUGGUAAGAAGUUUUCUAUUCAUUUUAUGUUUGUUUAGACUAGUCCUUACAUUUUUUUCCUUAAUAUUUUUUUUUCCGGAUAUGCAGGUUAGUGCUUGGUUAAAUAGUUCCAGGCGGAGUAAUUCCAAGAAGUAUUUCUGGGCAAAUGUCGUGGGUGUGUAUAAUAGGAACACCCCGAAAGAUCGGAAACGGACACUAAUGCAAUUAAAGACCCACUGGCAGAGGAUUAAUACGAAGAUCGCCCACUUCUAUGAUUGCUGGUGCCGAGUUGAGGCAAAACAUUCCUGUAUCCAGUCUGAGAAAAUGCAACUGAUGGACAAAACAUGGGUGAUGUAUAAUGAGGAAGCACGGGAGAUGUACCUUGAGGAAGCAAAACAUCAUUUCGCCCUCAGCCAUUGUUGGAAAGCUGUUUGGGAUCAACCCAAGUGGAAAAGACACGUCUCUUCUUUAUACUUCAAGAAAACUGAGUUGUCUGAAUCUGAGGACUGCACAUCAUCCUCCGAAGAUGCACCUGAAACAGAAACAGGUGAACAGGGUAGCGUGCCUGCGAAGAAGAAACACAAAGUUAAUGGUAAGGUGUCAUCUCCUCCAUCAGAGUUGCAAGAAGACAUUCAGUGCUCAGUGUAUCCUGAAAACAUGAUUGAGAAGAAUCUCAAGGAGAUGACAGAGGCAGAGCUUCAGUGCUCUGACCGAGAGCUUGAGCUGGCCAGAUCGAAUCAGGUGGAAAUGAAGGACAAGGAAAUGAUAAUAUCUGAAAUGCAAACAGAUCUGUUGAUGGCUGACACAUCAAGGAUCCAUGAGUUUCAGCAUGGAAGAGAUGGACUGAUGGUUGACACUGCAAGGCCUAAUGAGUUUCAGCACGGGAGUGCAGUGAGGGAAGAUGUGCAUGAAAAGAAAACACAUCCACAAUGUCACAAAACGUUAGACCAUGCAGGGACAGUGAGAGGUGAUAUUCCUGAGAAACAAACAUACCCACAAGGUUCAAAGAUGUCAAAUUUCAAGCGGAAACGCAAAGGGAAUGCAUCAACUCCUCCCUCAGAAGUUCAGGAAGACAUUAAACGUGCAGUGGAUCUGCAGGCCAUGCUCCAGAAGGACCGUGAGAAGAUGUCGGAGGUGCAGCUCCGCCUAUCGAAAGAGAAGCUUGAGGUAGCCAGGUUGAAGCAGCAAGAAGCAAAGGACAGGAAGGAAACGACACUCUACGAGAAGUAUACGGAACUGUUGAUGGCCAACACUCAGAGGUUUGAUGAGUUCCAGAAGGAAGAGCACCGAAAGGCAGUAAAGCGCAUGGGGGAGAUGCUGUUUGUUAACAAUGGCAUGCCACUUUCUUCUAGUAACCUUAAGCACAUGUAGUGGAUGUCUGAAAUGUUAUAUCUGAACUUUGAAGCAUUUGCACUUGGUUUCAUUAAACACCUGUAGUGAAAUGUUAUCUUCUUGGGAGCCUGAGUGUACAGUUGCUAAGUGCCACUGGCUGGGGCUCGAACCAAGGUGACCCUUUUCAAAAAGGAAAAAAGAAGUUAUCUUCCCUGAGAUGGGCGUCAUGUAUGUAUGAAUAUUGUUUCUAGUCGGUGUGGCACCUGUUUCUCCUGGCAAGAAUCCUGAAAAAUGUUCACGAAUUGAGUCAUGGGCUGGAGGAGCAGAUCAGCAGACCAAAACCAAGUGCAUGUGCUCCGUGUGGUGCUUGCUCCCUGCAUGAUAGCAGCUCAGUCACUAACAUGGUUAUCCUUGUUUAAUCCGUCAGUGAGAAGCAGAUUUCCAGGAGGCCAGGAGAUCAACAAUUUGCAGAGAUAGGGGCGAAAGAAUUAGACUCCCAUAUGCAUCAGCAGAAAUGGAUCGAUAACUCACAGCUUAUCAGGAUUUACUACUCAAAGCAUCAUCACGUGCUUCAUAACAAGUUGAUCUGAAAUACUUCAUGCCCUGAGCCUUGGUACUUGCAUGCCAUGAUGUGAACAUGGAGAUUGGAGAUGUUUCAUUUCCUCGUUUUUCAGAGAUGGGAGCAGGCUCCUAGCAAUGGAGAUGAGGAUAAUUAUGAGUCGUGUCAUCUCUGGAUUGACUACCUGUUGCUGCUAAGUGAGCUCCCAUGGGCAACAAUAGAUGGUAGCUAGUCACCAUUGUCCAUUGUAGAGAUGGUAUCCUUGACACAAACAGAGGGCAACAAAGGACGAGCGUGGAGACACGGAAAUCAAAAGGAACAGUUGCUGUCACUAGGGUUAUAAAUUAUUCAAAUGGGUCGACACUUGAAGCCUUGAAUUUCGAUGGUUGCAAACUUGAAUGAAUUUAUAUACACAAAGUAAAUAUUCGAUGGUCACAAUUAAAAAAACAGUGAAUAUACAUAAACUGUGUAGUUUGAGCUUUUCAAUUUUAUUGGAAAUCCAGUAGUUUGUGUGUACGAAUCUCCCAGUAUGAAGCAGAGCUGCAGAAACAUCAGUAGUGAGCAACCCCAUUAGUUUUAGUUCCUGCAUUUUUGCCGCCGCUGCAUGCGCGCGUUGUCAGCGUCUGAAGCUUGUUGGCAACCUCCUUCAUGGUCGGCCUCUCCUCGCUGCUCAAGCUCAGGCACUGCGCCACCAGCUCCGCGGCUUCGUCUACCACCUCCAACCCGACCACCGCCAUGACCCGGCCAUCCAUAACCUCCCGGUGCUGCCCCGCUUGCGCUGCCGCGAGGAAGCUGAAGGCGAGGCACCCGUCCUCCCUGUCGUCCUCCGCGCAGAACGCCUUCCUCCCGGUGAGGAGCUCCAGCACGACCACCGCGAAGCUGUACACGUCGCUCUUGCCGGUGAGCUGGCACGUCAGCAGGUACCCCAGGGUCCCCUGCACCAGCGCGGCCACCGCCGCGCCGUCCGCCGGCGCCACCCGCGAAGCGCCGAAGUCGGACACCUUGGCGUUGACCUCGCCGUCGAGCAGGAUGUUGGCGGUCUUGACGUCGCGGUGGAGGAUCGGCGGCGAGGCCGACGACUGUAUGUACGCGAGCGCGUCCGCGGCCUCCGCGGCGAUGCGGAGGCGCGCGUCCGCCGGCAGCACUAGCUUCUUGCCGCCGUCGCCGGUGUGGAUGUGGCCGUGGAGGCUGCCGUUGGGGACGUACUCGUAGACGAGGAUGGGCGCCUCGACCUCGAGGCAGCAGCCGAGCAGCUUCACCACGUUGCGAUGGUUGAUCUGGGAGAGGAUGAGCAUCUCCCUGGCGAACCCGCUGACCUGCUUCUCCUCCAUGACCCUCGACCUCUUAACGGCCACGGCGGAGCCGUCGGCGAGGACGCCCUGCCCUCCGCGGCCGAGGACCCGCGCCUCGGCGAACCCGUCGGUGGCCUUUCUCACCUCCUCCUCGGAGAAGAUCUUGAAGGUGACGCCGGAGCUGGCAAGGGAGCCCAGCUGCUGCUGCAGGAGGAGGCCGCCGUGCUGCUCGAAGAAGCGCCGCUUUGCUCGGAGCAGCCGCUUCUUCUGGAGCCACAGGUGUGCCGAGAAGCAAGACACCAGCGGCAGGAACACGCCAAUGCUCACACCUGAAACGAACCCGGAUUCAACACGUUUGCCAAUUGAUAAUCUGUUAGUAAAGUGAAACUCUAUUAGUUUGAAGAUUUUUCUAUCGAAUUAUGUCUGUAUACCUGUGACAGCCUUGAGUGCUAGCGUGAACUUGUCAUCAGGGCGGCAGCCGUCUGGAAUAGUAGCAUUCCCGCUGGAUCCCUUGGGACGUGCAGGUGAAGCUGCCCGGCGUGUUCACGCACACCCCAUAGCACGGGAACUCAUCCUUGCGCUGGCACUCAUCAACAUCUGAUGAUCCGUCGUUACAUCCAUUUCAAUCAAUGUCAGGGAUCGAUCACCGGCACAUCGAUCACCAGACACAAAUAAAAUGACAUUAUUUCAAGGAAUAUCCAUGGAUGAUCUGAAUACCGUACCUGUGCAGCCGUUCGUGACGUAGGGGUUGCCCUCGUACCCGCCGGUGCAGUUGCAGGUGUACCCGGGGCCGUUGCUGGACUCGAGGCAGACGCUCUGCGCGCUCCGGCACGCGUACGCGGUGGGAUCUCGCCGCGCCGCCGCGCAGCUCGGAGCGUCACUGAUGGCCCAGUCCAGGACCACGGGCACGGCGAAAUCACCGGUCCGGUUGAAGUUGGUGCCGGCGAGCCAGAACCAGAACCACAUGGCGUCCACCAUGAACGCGUAGGAGCAGCCGGUGGAGUUGGCCAAGAGCGUCGUCGUCAUCCCCAGGUUGACCACUUGACCUGCUGGCCGCCGCGGCGGGUGAAGCUGCCGAGGUAGAGGCGGUAGGUGUCGAGGCCUAAAGGGUAUGUUGUUCUGGCAGCAGCCGUCGUGGCCCCGGCACGAUCCCGGCAGCGGCGUGCUCCCCGACGGCCGGCACACCGACAUGCACCCUGCGACGUAGUCCCCGCCGCCGUCCACGAAGUAGGUCAGCUCGGGGCAGCCGAUGGACACGAACUUUCUCUUCAUCGACGAGAAGAGGAACGCGCUGCCGUUGAGCACCAUGGGGUGCUCCAGGACGCUGGCGGCGGCGCGGCCGUCGGCGUCGCCGGGGCGGUCGUAGCACGCGCGGCUGGCGUUGAGGAGCACCGUCGCCUCGGCCGAGGGCAUCGAGAUGGCGGACACCUCGUGGCCGUAGCCGGCCACGCUGAGGCGCGGCGGCGUGUGGGCGUCGUCUCACUCGAGCUCGAAGCCCCGGCCACCGGAUCCGGCGGCGGCGGCGCGGUGGCAGCCCGCGCCGAUGCCGAAGGGGUAGGGGACCGUUAUGUUGCCGCACUGGUGCCGGCAUCCCGGCGGCUGCUGCGACGCCGCUGGAGACAGGAGUAGCACUGAUGACAGUGCCAGCCAUGGCGGCCGCCAUGCUUCCAUCAUAUUGUUCCUUGUUGCACAGCUCCAAACACACGCACCCAACUGUCUCUGAGUCUAGCCAGUUCGAGUACAAUGGCAGCUUCAGCUUGCGAUCUGAAUAUAUAGCACCUGCUGCAUGCCGUCGUAGCUAGAUGGCCAUUACUACAACGUUGGAUAAUCAAAUUGACCUUUAAAGAAGCCAUUGUUCAUUUGGGUCUGCGUGGUGGUCGGGCAGUAGACUGUCCAUGAAAUCAAUCAUUGGAAGGGAGGAAUAGGAAACAUGGUUGGCCGACUUGCCACCUGAAGUGUUCCCGAUGGCUAACGAAAUAUUCACUACCGGAAACAGGAAGUUCGCCGAGUGCCCCAGGCACUCGGCGAAGGCCCAAAAACACUCGGCAACGCAUUUGCCGAGUGUAACACUCGGCGAAACAGACUCGGCGAACUCUCCCUCGGCAAACAGGGGUUUCGCCGAGUGUCAUACAUCGGGCACUCGGCGAAGCUUCGCCGAGUCCCAAAAAACACUCGGCAAACAUAUUUUUGAAAAAAAAUAAAAAAAACAAAAACUCCGGCCGCCGCCGCCGCCGCCGCCGCCGCCGCCAGCUGCCAUCCACGCCCGCCGCACGCCGACACCCGGACCACCAGCACGCCGCCGCCGCCGCCAGCUGCCAUCCACGCCCGCCGGCCACCAUCCACGCCCGCCGCGGCCGUCAUCUUCUCCGGAGGCGCCGGGGCGUCAGGGGCCGGGUCGUCGUCGUCCGGUGCGGCGGCGCUCGGAUCCUCGGUGGGGGGAGGAGGCGGGCCGUCGCCGUCGAGCUCGUCGCCGUCGCUGCGCAACCACCGGCCGCCGCUGUCGCUGUCGCGGUGCAGCGGCGCGCACGUACUGGAGUUCCUCCAGUACAUCCACGCCCGCCGCCGCCGCCGCCAUCCACGCCCGCCGCCGCCGCCACCGCCAUCCACGCCCGCCGGAUCCGGGGCCCCCGACGCGAGACUCCGGCGGAUCCGGGGCCGGCGGCGGCGGAUCCGGGGGCGGCCGGGCCGGGGGCGGCGGAUCCGGGGGCGGCGGGGCCGGCGGCGGCGGAUCCGGGGGCGGCGGGGCCGGCGGCGGCGGAUCCGGGGACGGCGGGGCCGGGGGCGGCGGGCGGCGGCGGAUCCGGGGCCGGGGGCGCCGGGCGAUGGUGAUGGUGGGGGAGGGGCUCGGGAGGGAGGGGAGGGGGCGCGCUAGGCGAGGGAGGGGAGCCGGCGGCGGCGGAGGCGGGCGGCGGCGGCGGCGGCGGCGGCGGCGGAGGCGGGCGGCGGCGGCGGCGGCGGAGGCAUGCGGAGGAAGAGAGGAGAGCGGGGGGAAGAGGCGCGCGCAUGCGGAGGAAGAGAGGAAAGUGGGGAGGGGGCCGGGUGCGCGGGGGGGGGGGGGCCGGGGGGGGGCCGAUAUUAAUUUGUUGGGCGCCGUCUGUUUGCCGAGUGUCCUACGUGGACACUCGGUAAAGAGUUUCUUUGCCGAGUGUCCAACGUAGGACACUCGGCAAAAAUUUUUUGAAAAAAAUUUAAAAAAUAUUCAACAGUUUCAAAAAAAUACCAAAUUUUCACACGAACCAAUAUAGGUUCUCUACUGACUAUACAAAAAGUUUUGUAGUCAAACCGAACUCGACCGUCACUUCGACUCUAAAUUUUUUCGAAUCCUUCUCUAUUUAUGUCUGAUGCAACCGCCGUAUAGAUCAGUCUAUUUAACCCUUAUACUCCAUUCGAUUCCAAAUUACAGAUCGUUUUGAUCUUUUUAGGUUACAAAUUUUAAAUCGGUUUGACUUUUCUACAAAAUAAUAUGGUAAUAUAUGUGAAUAUAAAAAAACUAAAACAGAAAAGCUCGUCCCUACUCAUGCAAUAGAUUCUAUCUUAGAUACAACAACCUAUAAUUUAAGUAUGAAACAAUUUACUAAAACCCACAUAAUGGUUCUAGGAAUGGAUGCUACCUUCUAUACUUCUAUACGUGAUGACGUGGUGGCGUUAGACCCAUUUCUUUAUCCCCGCCUCCUCCGUACCACAGUACCAGGGAUGGUUCCCGGGCUCCCGGCUACAACGAGCCACAGCAUAGACUUUGACAGACACAACGAUUUACGAUGGUGCUUGGUUGAUUACCAACUUUUGGCGUGCCACAACGUUCUACCAGUUUUCCCGUUGUUUUUCUCGCCAAAGGCUGCCGAAGGUUGGGCGUCGAAUUUUCCCGCCACAUGUUGGCAUGGCUCGUUAAUUACCGCCAGCAACCAAGCAGAUUCUGGAUCUCUUGUUUCCUCCUCCUCCUCCCAUUAUUCCUCCUUCCCGAAUAUAAGAAACUGACAUAGUUGCCAUGGAAUUAAACAGAUGAACCCUUUGAUAUUUUAUGCUAGUUAAGCUACAUUUGUUAACUUGGGAGAAUAUGCUCAAGCUUAAUUUCUAGAGGGGAUUAUUGGGAUGCCUUUUAAUAGUGCAAACUGCAAAUGUAUGUUGAUUUCACUAUAAAAAAGGGUUUUUAGGGACCGUUGAAACGGCAUUUGCAGGGGCCAGCGCACUACCUGCUCCUAACUUUCGCAGCUACAAAUAGUUGUUUGCAGGAGCGGGUAAAAGGUCUGCCCUUGUAAAGCCGUUUCCAGGGGAGAGUGAUGGCUUCACCCGCCCCUGCAAAUAGCGUUUCCAAGGACGGGUCACCCCGUCACCCGCCCCUAGUAACCAAUUAAAAAAAUAAAAAAAUGUGGGGACCCAAGGUGCUGCCGGCCGUCGAGCUCCCGCGCCUCGAGGACCCACGGCUUCAAUUUUGAAGGCAUGGAUCGUUGACGUCGCAGUAUGUGUUUCUUUCUUGAGCUUAUAACGAUUUUUUUAGACCAUCAAACGAUCUUAAAUAAAAAAGUUGUCAACUACAAAGUUUUAGAUCUCGUCGAGCUCUACAACUUUAUUACAAAGUUUAUCUUUAUCUGAGAUUAUAUGAAAAAAUUAUGAUUUUUUUGCGCAAAACCAUUUUUAGGGGCGGGUCAUGCCAUCACUCAUGCCUAGAAAUAAUUUCCGGGGCGGGUGACACCAUCACCCACCCCUAGAAAUUAUUUCCAGGAGUAGCUGGUGCCAUCACCCGCCCCUACAAUUAUUUAUAUAUUUUUAUUUUUAUUUUAAAAUAAUUUUUUGAGUUAUUAAAUGAUCUCAAAUGCAAAAAUUGUCAACUACAAAGUUGUUUUGUCUCAUCGAGCUCUACAAUUUUGAUAUAAAGUUUAUAUUCAUCCAAGAUGACCUGAAAAAGUUUAUAUUCAAAAAAUACAUCCAAUAAACUCAUUCACACAUACUCACAUAUAUACUCAUACAUUCACAUAUUUUAUACAUUAACAUAUACUCACGCAUAUACUCAUUUAUUUACAUAUAUUUAUAUACAUUUAGACCUCGUUGAGUGUUACAACUUUCAUAUAGAGCUUCUCUAUAACCGAAGUCCUUUGAAAAGUUUAAAAUUUGUAGAUUUCAAAAUUAGAGGACUUACAUAUAACACAUUUUGGAGUAUCGAACAAUCCCAAAUAAAAAACAUGCCAACUUCAAAAUCUUAGGUCUCAUCGAGCUCUACAAUUUUCAUAUAGAGCUUCUCUAUAGUCGACCUCAUUUGAAAAUUCAAAAAAUUUAUAUUUCAAAACAAGAGAAGUUAUAAUGACAUUUUGAAAUAUUAAAGAAAUUUCAAAUUGAAAACUUGUCAACUUCGAAGUUGUAGGUCUCAUCGAGCUCCACAAGUUUCAUAUAGAGCUUCUCUAUAGUCGACCUCAUUUGAAAAUUCAAAAAUUUUAUAUUUCAAAACUAGAGAAAUUAUAAUAAUAUUUUGAAAUAUUAAAUAAUUUCAAAUUGAAAACUUGUCAACUUCAAAAUUUUAGGUCUCGUCGAGCUCUACAAGUUUGAUGUUGAGCUUCUAUAUAGCCAAAGUCAUUUGAAAAUUCAAAAGUUUUAGAUUUUAAAACUAUAUAACUUAAACGGAUAUUUUGAAGUAUUAAACAAACUAAAAUGAAAAACUUUUCAACUACAAAGUUUUAGCCCUCGUCAAGCUAUACAAUUUUGAUAUAAAGUUUGUCUUCAUCGACGAUCAUAUAAAAAAUUUAUAAAUUUAUUUCCACGGGAUCAUUUCUAGGGCGGGUCAUGUCAUCACCCGCCCGUGGAAAUCAUUUUCAAGAGCGGGUGAUGCUAUUUCUAGGGGCAAGUGAUGGGGUGACCCGCCCCCUGAAAAUGAUGAUGUCUAGGCGCGGGUCACCAUAUCACGUAAUGUAAUGUCGUACGUAUAUCUAUGAGCCCACCAGAAGGUUUGGACGGUCCUAAAUAUGAGACUGGACACCGAGACGCAUCUGACAUGGAGACCAUAGCGCAGGACGGCGUAGUCUACAUGAAAAGACAGGAAGUAGUCAAGGAUUAGGAAGUACUCGUUGUAAUAAGAGUAGAACUCCUCUAGUCGUAUCCAACUAGUAUUUUUGUAACUAACCGACCUGUAACCCCGCUCCCGACAAUAUAAGGUGAGGCAGGGACCCCUCCAAAGCAAUUCAAUCCAACCAACACAUAGGAUGUAGGGUAUUACGCAAUCUAGUGGCCUGAACCCGUCUAAACCGUGUGUCUGCGUUUACCUUCGAGUUUAUGAUCUCGACGAGCCCCACUAACCAAAACAUUACCUUGAGCAUCCCCCUCGGUAGGUUGCUGAGUUUAAACACCGACACUCACCCCUGAAAAUAGCCCCCAUUUCUAGGGAUGAGUCGCCCCAUGACCCGCCCCUACAAAUGCUUUCAAGGCGGAUCGGUUGCUACAGUAGUCCCGCUUCUUUUGUAGUACGGGUGGCAAUUUCACCCGCUCCGACGCUCCUGUAAAUCGUUUUAUAGUAGUGCUCGUACUUGUUUUCUUGGGGGAGAACCUGUGUGAAAUGAAAUGGAAUUGAAUGCUCAACCACUGCGCUGUUGGUUCAUGUGGUUCUAAAAACUAGAGACGAGUCAACGACGAGCAUGAUGACCACGACAGCUUGGUGCUUAUGGGCUGCGACCAGCGAGGAUACGUUGCACAACGCAACAAGCAAAUAACUGGGUAUUAUUCAAAGACUCACGAGGAUGCGUUGUACGAAUGCAAUGCAACGAGCAAAUAGUUGGGGUUUUUUUUUAUAACCUGAACUGGAAGAAAAUCGAUGCGUUUUCACGAUUGCAGAUGGCGCAAUAUGCUACAGCUGCGGCGGAUCAUGCUUGCAAAUUCUUCAAAUUUAAAAACUGCUUCGUAUUGUCAUUUGGAAACUUUUAAUUUUAAUAAAAACGUUUUGACGGCACAUAAUGCGAGAUACUAAUCAGGCUGAAUGUACAUGCUUGCAAUGCUAAAAAAGCUGCUUCGUGCGAUAGGAAACAUAUACUAACGCCAGACUGAUGGCCUCGCGCAUGGCGCGAGGAAGCAUAGAAGAGUAUUCGUUUGGCAAUUCCGUGGGAAGUUAUCAGCUUGAUUGAUUGGUUUCUCGCGAAAGGGAAAAGAAACACGGGCCAGGAGCGCCAUUCAUGGGGAAGUGGGCUUAGUUUCUGCAACUGAUGAGAUAUAAUACUGGGCCAAACUUGCUUGUUGCUGGCCGAUGCAUGGGCCAUCUGCCCCAGGGCCGGCCCUGAAGCAAAAAGGAUCGGAACUGAAGUAGAGAGAGCAGAAGGUUUUAUGAGUUUCAGAAGGAACAAGAGGGCUGCUGAUGCGGUUUGCUAAAGAGAUGAAGCUUGCUUUCAAUCAAAAGCAGGGCCAGAGAUGGUCUUUUAUCUAAAAGAGAUGAAGCUUGACUUCCUUAAUCUCAUGUACUGAAAAUCUGAAAUGUUUACCCGCGUUGCAUUGCAAAGUUCGCGAUGCCAUGGAACACCUGCAAUCAAAACCAUGCAUUUUGCAAACUGUUCGAUGCCUGCCCGGUUCGUUUUUCUUUUAUAAAAAAGAAUCUAGUUCAAUGCUCUUACCGGUGAUGGUUAUGCAGAGUUUCUCCAGCUGCUAGGCGUGGAGUAGACCGAAAAUGAAAAUCACAUAUACUGCAUUGGCAGGUACGUUCUUUCCGCACAUGAGCUGCACCUUAUCCUUUUCUCUUUCCUUAAGACCAGGUUAAAGGCUUGAGCUCUUUUACGGUACAUAAUACUAUUACUUAGUGGUAGUGGUAUAUAGUAUAUAUAAGAUCUAAUUAUUCAUUAUUAUGGAUAAUUUAGUAAUUAUUACAUAGUAAAAAGUGAUAUUUCAAAUGGAAUGGUCUUUUAAAUUUUAUGCUAGUGUCAAAAAUAAAAUUAUAGUAAUUUCAUUUAUGUUCUUUUACCAUGGUACCCUUAUACUAACCGUAUUACUCAUGUAUACUACUCAUAUCACGGGGGAAGGUUUCGGAUGUUUUUAUACUUGAUAGUGAUGCUCUAAAGCAACUUGUAUAGUGAUGCUCAUACACCUGCUCGUUGCCAAUUGGCUCCGUAAAGGGGCAGAAUGAAUCGCGGCCUGACUGACACGAGAUCGUGUGGCAUCGAUCCACGCAUCACCCUGAUAACUUGCACGCACAUCGAUCGACAGAUCGUGGGCUGCACGAGCGUGCAGGCCACAUGGCAUGUGCUUCCGUGGUGCAGACUGCUCAUAACCCAUGGUACGCUGAUACUUGCUUGGUCAGGCACUAACAUGGCGAUCCCUGAAUCCUUGAUCUUGUCUGUCAGUCUGUGAGAUAGCACCAGAUUCCCAAGAGGUCAAACAACUAGCAGAGAGAUCAGAUCACAGCAAAAGAAAUUGCAGGCUCUCAUACGUUAUGCAAAGGUAACUGAAAAAGAUCAGUGGCUAACUGCUUCCCAUGCUUUUCCAGCUCCAGCAUCACCAUGUGCUUUGCAGCACUCCAGCAAUGAAGGCACGGUUUAGACUCCAAACAUGUUCAUGUUACUGUAUUAAACAUAAUAGCUGAAAAAAGAAUGUGAUAAAAAUCCUCAUCACUUUUUCUGCACACAUAUCUCUUAAGAUAUCAGCAGUCUCAUUGACUGAUACUACUUUGAAGUGGGGAUGCUAAUCAGAAGCACUGUAGUUGCUACCUCAAAAAGUAUUUAACGGUAGGAAUCAAUCAUUCACGCACAUUGGACAUAGGAGGCAAGAUGGAAGCUCAAUAGACUAGGAAUAAUAAGAGUAGUUCACAGGAUACAAGAAGCUAGGAACAUGACCGCGAGAACUUCGAAGCCAAGUACAAUGCCAUGGAAGAAAAGGUGAUGUUAUACUACAGUGGAAAAUGAUGCAAAACAAGAGCAAUGAUUAUGGUCCAUCUGAAGCUGACCAUCAAUUCUAUCUGAAGCUUCCCGAGAUUAUCUAUGUCUAGUUCUUCCCCUUCUUUUGAGCACUCUGGAAGUGCUCAGAAGGCAGCAUUGAGAAUGAGCUGCCAGAAGGCUCUCCUGUAAAUCCAUCAGCUGGCCCGAAACUGAAAUUGAAGGAACCAAAGUUCGCUGUCGAGAGGAAGUCAUCGCUGCAGCCAUCGACCCCUUUGAUAUCCAGGGCAUUUUCAUUACCUGAGGAGGUACCCCACACGAAGCUGCUGCCCAUGGAGCUUGGGAGUUUCGCUGGUUCCUGGUGGCUCCCUACGCGACUGAUCUGGUCUGAAGAAGUCUUUGGCUCCUCUGUUGGCAACGCCGGGGUGUGUCCUUGGAACAGAGCUACGUGUGCGAAAAGCUUGUCCUUCCUUGUAAAACUUGUUCCACACGAGCACAGCCACUUGUCCCGGCCGCAGUGCUUCUCGUGCGUCUUGAGGUCGGCCAUGACCGAGAACUUCUUUGUGUGGCACCGGCUGCAGGUGUAGCUCUUCUCACAGUGGCUCCUCUUGUAGUGAUUCUUCACGCACAGGAUCGUCUUGAGGGGCUGGAAGUUCUUGUGCAGCUUGUUCCGCUUGCAGCCUACAAAUGGGCAAGAGUACCUCCUCACCAGUUCGUGCUCUGCGCUUGCGUUUCUAGGUGGCUUGGCUAGUGCGGCAGGGCUCUUGUACUCAUCACCAUGCCCUCUCAUGUGCAUUCGCAGAUUCGCAUCCCUCUUGAAACCCUUUCCGCAGAUGGAGCAGAAGUGCGUGUGUGGGGCCAAUAUCUCAUCCUUCUCCAGCUGCAGUAACUCAUAAGAGCCCGGCGGUAAGCUCUCUCCAUCCAUGCCAACAUCACCACCUUCAUCGCCAUCCUUUGCAUCCUGCUCCUCGACAAGAACAUUGCCAAUUUCAAUGCCUCCUUCCAGUGCGCCAUCAGUGAAACCCUUGAAAAGUUCUUCGUAGUCCUCAGGGCCACACAUUUCCUCCUUGUUCUCUUCAGAAAUGGUUGUCACAUUAGGAACGAAGCUCGAGCUCGACCCAACAUGGUUAACGAUGCCCAUAUGUCCAGCUUGGGGGUGGCUCAGAAAGGUCGAGUUCUUUAGUGAUGGGAGAAGGCUACCGGCAGUAGAGAUGAGCUGAACAAUGAGGCAUGUCAGGUCUGCAUUGACCACCUGCUGCUGCUGAGCGAGCUCCCCUGGGCGUUGGCCACCAUCGUCCACCAUUGUACGGAUUACAUCCUUCACUUGCCGUAUCUUCUCCUCAAUGAAGGUAAGGUUGUCUAGCAUGGUAGCCGGGUUCCAAUCCAUGUGGGGAAUGUUGGUGGAUGGAGUGGCACCAAAUGGCGAGGUGAAUGACGCAAAUGGUUGCUGAACUCCCAUGCCAAGGAACGGAUUGUCUGAACCGAACUGGUAGCAGAAGUUCGCAGCAGAUUGGCCAUGGAUGUGGUUCUGACUGUGAUCCAUCUACGAUCAACUUCCAAAAAAAAUCUCGCUUUUGAAUUCAGAGGGAGACUCUAGUCUGCACUCUGCAAAAAAGAAGAGUUCAAAUGAAAGACCAUUAGAACCAACCAACCUGCAGAUUUGAGCAUUCAUGGUUCGCAGAUGCUCGAGUGCAUAUAUAGGCUCAACGUAUUAGCUGAUUGAUGGGUAUAAACAGCAUGUAGAAAAUUUCAACACAGCCCAAGAGGUUGAGGCAGGUACUUAUAAAAUUUUCAAGUGUAAUUCAGAUGACGAGUUAGGUCCUAAGGCAAAGAGAGGAGCAAACAAAGAAAUUAGCAUAUUUGAUUACUCAGAUUGUUUUGUUGCCAGAUGAAGAUAAAUGGUACCAAACUUCCAACACUCCACUAAUCCAACAAGUUAGCUCAGCACUCCAAGCAGUGCGGUCGUACUAAUGAGACCAUGAUGUAUGGAGUAUUUGUAGUUUGGGUAGAGACCGUACUUCACCACUAAUUACUGCACACUAUGAUGUACUUGUAGCCUCGUAGGAGGAAAAAAAACUGACCUUUGCAUAAAGGGGCCAUCUUUGGUUCAGAGGAGCCAAAGAUUUCACGAAAAUUGACGGCACAAUAAUAAAAGAAAGGGGGUGAAAGGCUUGGUCGUCUUAAAGCCAAUCGAUCUCCUUGAUGGGAGAAGAACACCAGGACCUUUAAUUGUAGGAAAAAUUGGGUUCGUGACACCGAAAGAUUCAUGAUUUAGAAAUUUAUCAUCGAAUCAUUCCGGUACACUUUAAUACCAUCAACAGAUGUCGCCGUUUAGAAUUUUACCACUCGGUCACGUUUUCCAUCCAUACUGCCGUUUCUUCACUAUUUCUCUUCCUUCUGCCGUUUGGCUCUCAACCUUUCUUCUCUCUCCAACCAGUGAACGGAGGAGCUGCUCCCCCUCCAACCAAACCAGAGGAGCCGGCGAGCCGCAUGUGCUUGCUGCUUUCAUUGGUCAGGAAGUGAAGGGCCCUUGCUGAUGCGUGCUGGGUCUGGGUGCUGCCACUGCAGGAUCUAAUUCCCUUGCCAUGGCAUGUACUACAGCAGUAGCAGGCAGCGAGCUGCAAAUCCUCAGUGCCCAGCUCUAAAUCGGCUUCAUCCUCAAUGGAACACGAAUCCAUUCAGCUCCUCUGCAGGUGACAUAAUGUACUUGAGCCCGACGGGGAGAGGUGCCGUGUGACGGGACACAGUUGGCUCCCGGCGGACUUUGGCGUAGCCAAGCUGGGGCAGCCAUGGCUGGAAGCUAGCUUGGGCGCAGUGGCCGAGCCGAGCUGGGGGCGAAGAAGUGGGUUGAUGCGCGGGCAGAGCGGCGGCCUGCGGCCAAGCCAAACUGUUGCGCGGCUAUGGGGCAAGGUGGAGCUGAUGUGAGGCGUGGCCAUGGGUUGAGUAGGUUGAGGCACGGCGGCCUGCGGGCUGCCGCCAACAACCUGGGCGCGGCGCUUGCGCCAGAGACGGAGAAGAUGAACAGGAAAUAACGGAGAUGACGUGGGAUGGAUGAAAAAUGUCACGGAAUGGUAUAUUUCUUGACAGGUGGAAUCUUUUUCAAUGGUAUUAAAGCGUACCACAUCAGUUCGCUGGUAAAUUUCUAAAACAUGGAUCUUUCAGUGUCGCAAACCCAAAUUUUCCUUAAUUGUACCAAGAACAUCCGAUCCGUUCCUCUUGUCGAGAUCUCAAGACAGAACUAACGCCCUCUCGAAGAAUCAAGCAAAACAAAAGCGAGACACCCUUGCCAGGAAGGAAUCGCCUCAAGCUCAAGCGUGCGAGUCGCCAGUGACAUACCAAAAGAGGAUGAGCCGGAGGAGCAGCAGGCGUCGGCGGAGGUCGUCACCAUGAACCGGGGGCAGGUACGAUGAGGAGGAAGGAGCCGGGGACCAAGGCGGGGGCAGGUACGAUGAGGCGGGGGGGAGGGGUAAAUAAUUGCCCCCCUCGACCUCGAGAGUCCCGAUCCAUCCUCUUGGCUGCUGCUCGUCACCUCACCUCUCACCUGCGUUGCUGCCUCUGCUGCCCGGUGCCCGCUCGCUCGAUUUGUUUAGGGUGUGUUUGGUUCCGAGGAUGGAAUGGGAUUGAAUAGGAUAGUCUUGGCUAGUAUUUGGUUAGGAGACACGGGACGAGUCCAUUUAUAGGGGAAUAUUCGGUGCAGAUGUGGGACGACUCAAUUGGCCCAAAACGAGCGGAUAGGAUUGUCCCACUUCAACGCAGUCGCGGGAAGGGCCGGCGGGGGCGAGCGUGAAGGGCCGGCGGCGGGUGAGCUCCGCGGCGCCCUCCAUGGUCGGCGGGGCGAGCAGAGGCCCACAGCGGCGAGCUCUGGCGAGCUUGGAUCUCGACGACGGCGGAGUGAAUCGAGUCAGCGGCAACGGCCACAGGUAUGUGACCUCCGACACGGCUAGUGCAGGCGAGCGGGAGCUCGCGGGCGGCGUGGGCCAGCUCGAGCGCGGCUGGCGUGGGCGAGCUGGAGCUCUACGGCCGGCGUGGGCGAGCGAGCUGCUCCCCGACUGGCGGCUCGAGCAAGCUGGGGAUGGAGGAGGAGAUGGAGAUGGAAGAAGAUAAUUGAAAAAAAUAGAUAGACAAUGACAAAUAGGGUCCAUUGACAGGUGGGGUCUAUUUACUGUGUCUAACGGUGUUAAAAUCGUUAUCCAUCCCAUCCUCUCGAUCCCUCGUACCAAAUAAAAAAUUGGGAUGGACUUAUCCUUCUCAACCAAACACGAAAUGGAACCGUCCCAUCCAUGAAAAUGGGGACAGGAUCGUCCCAUCCCAUUUCGUCUCCAAACCAAACACACCCUUAGUACACGGGCGUGCACAGAUGCCUAUGACAGUGGCAUCACAUGAUCGAUUAUGCAAGUGUCCAUCCUUUGCAUAUAGUGUACUUCACUUAGACCCUGUUUGCUAGCUGCGUAUAGUGUACUUCACUUAUACCCUGUUUGGCUAGCUAAGUUUAGUGCAUAGCUGUUUGAUACAGGGUGUUAAAAUUUAACACAUGUCACAUCAGAUGUUUGGAUGCUAAUUAGGAGUAUUAAAUUUAGGCUGAUUACAAAAUUAAUUCCACAUAUGGAGUGUAAUUCGCGAGACGAAUCUAUUAAGCCUAAUUAGUCCAUGAUUUGACAAUGUAGUGCUACAGUAACUAUUUGCUAAUGAUGGAUUAAUUAGCUUAAUAAAUUCGUCUCGCAAAUUAGCACAGGAUUCUGCAAUUAGUUUUAUAAUUAGCUCAUAUUUAGUUCUCCUAAUUAGCAUCCGAACAUCCGAUGUGAUAUUGUUAAAGUUUAACACCUCAUAUUCAAACACCCCAACCUGGACUAAAGGGUAGCCAGGCAAAAAGCCUAGUCCCCCGUGUGGCGCUCUUGCCCCACUCCCUGUGCUGUGCAUGUGAGGGCAUUUGGGUCUUUGUCCAUCCGUGAGCAGCUUUUAGUCGCUUUUAGUUGCUUUUAGCUCGGCUGAAGCAGCUAACGAGCUAAUCGUUAGCUGGGCACUUGGAUAAAAAUUAGACGGCUUUUAGAUGCCCCGUUUGGAGCCUGCCGGCUAAUUUUUAGCGUUUACCCCCUCCGUUUCAUUUCAGAUUAUAAUUAUUCUAAUUUUUUGACAAUCAAAACAUCUUAAAUUUGACCAAAUUUAUACAAUAAAGUACUAACAUUCAUGAUACUAAAUAGUUACCAUUAGUUUCUUCAUUAAAUAUAUUUUCAUAGUAUAUCUAUCCGCUGUCAUAAUUUUUUUGAUCUUCUCUGUAAUUUUAGUUAAACAUAAAAUAAUUUGUCUCUUCAAAAAAGUUGAAAUGACUCAUAAUUUGGAACAGAGGGAGUAAUUUUUAGCAGGGGUCUCCAAACAUAAUCUUAGACCCUAUUUGGAUCCGCUCCAACUAAAGUUUAACGAUACAUGCCCUUUUUAACUAGCUAAAGUUUGGAUCCACCAGCUAAUUGCUAAUUUGUGACCAUACUACCCUUCAUCUAAUUGCCCCUUCAUCUGCUCGAUUUGUUGGCGCCAGCAUCAUUUUCCCGGGUGCCAAGACCUGCUGCUCUUCUCUGUUUGCCUCUUUAAUGGGAUCGAGCGAACGGGGAAGGGGGGAGCAUUUACUGCAGUGGCGGUGGGUAAGUACGCUGAACACUAGGUAUUACUACGGUCUUUCACCACUUUUAGGUGGUUUAGCUCAAAAUCUCGCGGGACCGCAAGAUUUCUAGGUUAGAUUCCUGGGUUGUAGCUAAAGUUUUAAGCUGAGUUUUAGAUGGACCUGUUUGGAUCCUUAGUAGCUAAAUUUAACCAGCUAAAAUUUUAGAAACAGGAUCUAAGUAACUCGGUGUACCUCAAUACUAAUUAGGCGUCGUAUGCGAGAGAAAUAUUUGUACCCGACUACUCCAACGGUAGAUCAAUAUUGUGAAAAUUAAUUUCACAUUAGUUAGAUCAAUAUUGUGCUUGUGCAAACAAAUUUCACCGCUGAUACGGCCCGUUAUUCAACAGAAGAGGCGGCUCUUUAUGCUAUGUUUAUAGAGUAUCACGCUAGAAUUGUGUAUGCAUUUUUUUUCGCAAAACAGAAUUGUGUAUCAGUAUAUGCAAUUUCCUCCAUAUGCCAAUUCAACUAGCAAAAUGGCUAGUGAGGUUUCCAACGUACUUUGUAUGCAGCGUGGCAUCAAGAGGCAAACACUACUGCGCUGUCUUUGCAUGUAGCAAUAUAGUUCAGCAAAAUGGACACAUCUUACUAUACUUGUAUACGUGGACAUCUUUCAUCACUACUCCACGGCUUGCUUGGUCAGGGCAUAGUAAACGAAGACGUAGAUUCUUUCCCACUAGGCAAGAGCCGUGAAACCAGCCUCGACGCAGCGAAGACGUAGAUUCCAAAAAUCCGCCUUCGGACGCUGCGUGCCAUAAAAAUCUGUGCUACACUUCACUUUGACACUUUAUUACUCGUGCGGUCGUGGCCGCCCCCAACCGCUCCGCGCGCGCACCGGAUAAAGACAAACCGCCGCGGCACCGUCGCCAUGGCUCCCCUCCUCCUCCCCGUAUCCCUCCGCCCCCUCCCGUCCGCGAGAUCGGUAUCCCGGCCGGUGCCACGGCCGUGUCUCCCUCUCCUCUUCACCAAGCGCCGGCGCCUUCCCUCCGCCCUCCGACGAGUCCAAUGCCCCGCGGAGCCGGCGCCCCCGCCCGCGCCGCGGUGGCACGCGGCGCUUGCCACGGCGGCCGGGCUGUACCCGGCCUACGUCACGGCGGGCGCCUCCGUCGCCGUUGCGCGGCCCGAGGCGUUCCGGUGGUUUGUCGACAUGGCGCCGGGGUCGUACACCGCCACGCUCGGCUUCAUCAUGCUCGCCAUGGGCCUCACCCUCAACCUCAGGGACUUCGCCGCACUCCUCCGCGACAGGCCCCUCUCCGUACGUGGCCGGUGCAAACCCAUCCCUUCCUUGCUUCCUAGAAGCUUGAUCCUCUGAUUGAUGGCAUUUUCUCCAUGCCGAAUUGCCGAUCCAUUGCAAUCUUGGUUCGUCUCUGUGCUGCAGAUAUUGUUUGGGUGCGCCGCGCAGUACACCGUAAUGCCUGUGUUUGGGGCGAUCAUUAGCCGCGCGCUGGGGCUCCCCCCAUCCCUCUCUGCAGGCCUUAUCCUGCUAGGAUGCUGUCCUGGUGGAACUGCAUCCAAUGUGGUAAGAUUGUCAGCUGAAUUCAGUUUGUCACGCUCCAUAUUUCUAUUAAAAGUGUGGAUUUCCCCAUUAGUAUUAUUGUUUUAUAGUGAACUUAACUUUGCCAGUUAUGUACUCAAGUGAACUGAUUGCUUGAAGGGCUAAAUUAAGAAUGGCUAUGCAAUUGAGAGUUCAGAUGCAUUUGUUCAUUGAAAUGGGAGUUGAGUACCUUUUUUUUUUUUGAAACAAAAAUGGGAGUUGAGUACUUGGUUGUUUUAGCUUCUGGAGAAGCCAACGUCUGAUGUUCUGACAUGCACUGACACUUUAUCCUUUUUUAUGUUGCCUACAGAAGUGUACAUGUUCACCUAUUUACAAGACAAUGCUACCAAACUUCUGGAAAAUUGAAAAAUUGUUUCGAUUUUUUAACAGUUAUAAGCAGUUCCGUUUUUCUGCCUCAUGAUCCUUCUCUCCUAGAUGUGUCCUCCUAUGCACUGACCUAAUUGUUUCCUAUAGUGGUUCAGGUGACUUUAGUUGCUAAAGGCGAUGUUCCGUUAUCCAUCGUGAUGACUGUCUGCAGCACUCUUGCUGCUGUGUUCCUUACCCCUCUCUUAACGAAAGUUCUAGCUGGUGCUUACAUUCCUGUGGAUGCUGUUAAGCUUUCUCUCAGUACUUUGCAGGUGAAAUUUCUGACGCCAUUAGUUCAUAGCAAGAUUUUACUCAUAGUUAGUUUUGUCUGUCUCUGACCUUUUUUCCUUCUUCAGGUGGUUGUUGCCCCAAUUCUAUUAGGUUCUUCUAUACAAACAGCAUUCCCAUCGGUAGUUCAAUUUGUGACUCCUUUUGCACCUCUGAUGGCAGUCUUGGCUUCAUCGCUUCUGGCUUGCAGGUUCAGAUCCUUCAAACUUACCAUGUUAUUUUGGCUUGGGAAUAGGAGAAACCGUGCAUCCUUUUACCCUUUAUCUUUCAAUGUUACAGUGUCUUCUCUGAGAAUUUUGUACGCCUAAGUUCAACAAUUGCUGAUGCAUCUUCUGUGAAUGGAAACUUCUUCUCUGGGGAUAUCGGAGUUGUCAUGCUCUCUGUCUCCUUGCUGCAUUUUGCUGGUUUCUUUGUUGGGUGAGCACAAGAAUGCAUACUGUACCCUUUUAUGUGUGAUGCAAUUCACAAAUUUUGUAUCUUAUGGUUUUUUUUCAUUAAAAAAAGAGUAUAGUAGAACAGAACUUGGUGUGAACCAUCAAAAUUCAGUAAGCUACAAGUUACUGACAUUUGUCAUCCAGAUGUCUAAUUGUUUAGUUGGCUCUAUAACAAACAGGUAUACAGCAGCAGCUAUAAGUGGUUUGAAAGAAAAACAAAGGAGAGCAAUAUCAAUUGAGGUAUGGAUCCUGACCAGAUCUAACCAUAUUUCCCAAUUAAUAUGACCAGUAAAACGAAGAAGCAUAUUCAUUGUUGAAACCAUGUGUAUAAUAAAAUAAACAAACCAAGCAAGUCUUCCAGCACACUAGCAUUUCAUAUUAAGAGGUGUAAAGUACUUGGGAGGAUUGAGUAGCUGACUAGUCACAAACAUCAGAUUAUCAGUCAACAGAUUGUGUAAAUUAGUCCUCUCCUAUGAGGCUAUGACUCAAGUACCCUUCUGCUCUAGUAAAAAAAUAAGUGGCAUUUCAGUAUGCAUGCACUUGGAUAUCGUAAACUUGGGCUAUUCAGUAGCGGAGCCUCACAUCAAUGCCGGGGAAGGGGGGGUGCAUGGCCCCUUUUGGCCUCCACUACCCUCCACCACUCUUCAUAUUGGCCUUAUAUCUUGAAAAGUACUUUCAUAAUGUGUAUAAAUUUACUUGAACUUAUAAGUAUAUGUUGAAAAUAGUGUACAAUGCUGCAAUUUUUUUUUUGCAUGCACGUGUUGUCUAAAAACAUCACUUAUUUGUGACUGUUGGGAUUAGUACUGGCAGACUGUUACAAAUUCCAAUCAUAGUAUCAGAAAUCUUAAAACAAUAAUUCUGUUGCCUUGACCAUGUUUUAUUUUUUUAGAAUGCUUCCUACCUGAUUGUCUUUCAGAAUUAUGAUUAAGAGACUUAAUUUGAAUACGAUGAAAAAUGUUCAAUGGCCUUCUUUUUUCUCUGGAUUGCAGGUAGGAAUGCAAAAUUCGUCCUUAGGGGUAGUGUUAGCAGCUGCACAUUUCUCCUCACCCUUGGUUUCCCUGCCACCUGCACUCUCAGCUGUCAUCAUGAACAUAAUGGGUAGCACACUAGGUCUUGUAUGGCAGUAUAUCACACCUUCUGAUUUAGAGAAUGAAACCACCGGCAUGCACAAUGCAUGAUCAACUCUUACUGUUGUGUGCUUAAUCUCCUCUGUCAUGUCUUCUCCACAAACAUGCGUGGUGUUGAAACCAUGUCUCCUUUUACUUUAUUUAUCGUGCCCUUCUUCUGUUUUGUGGAUACUGUCGAUAACUCUGGAAACUUACUGCCUUCGUAAGCUUUGAAAUAACAACAUUCUUUUUUAAAAAGGAAAAAGCAACUACAGUCUUGCUUAUGUAGGCCAAUCUGGAUAUUAAAUUAAGUUAGUGAAGGAAAAAAAAUCUGGAACAGUUAACUUUUGUCUCAAGAAUCAAUAACUCAAACUUGAGGAGGUAUGAUGUCAUAUAAUAUCACUCCAAGUUGGAAGUCAAGAAACUGUACUAUACACAUCUGCAAACUAGGGGAGAAAGAACCCACAUUAUGUUUGUAAUCUGUGCAGUGUCUCAUGAAAUUACUUAUAUUGUUCAUAAUGUGAUGUGUUAAAAAUCUCCAAUUGGCAUUCAAAGGUAGGACUUGGGUUGCCUUCAUCUGAGGUGAGGCCACUGGUUCUCCAUAACCAGGUUUCUGAAGCAAGCUAUUUAUUUCUGUUGACUUAUGGCAGAAUGCUGGCUUAAGGACAGGAAAUCUGGCUUGCAAUAGUGCUAUGAAAUACAUUAAAAAAAAGUCACUCCUAAAAUUGCGAUCUUAGUCUAGGAUUGAUGCAGCCACCUAUAUUUGAUAUUUCUUUAGAGCUCCAGGAGAGCCUGUUUAGCUCUAAAAAAACUUUUUUGUUGGGCUGAGCCUCAUUAGAGUUGCAGGAUCCAUUUUAGUCCAGGACCAUCAUACAUGGUCCCCUUCUCACUUCUGCAACCAGAGGAAUAAUUUUGCAUGUGACUGCAAACAAAACCCUAUGCCCCUGCUUUGAUCUGGCUGUUAUUGUCAGUGCACUAGGAGGCAGGGUGUAAUGGCAUCAGUCAAGGGCAUGUACCAUUGCAUCGAUGCACUUGUGGCAAUGAUCAUCCAAGGUUGCAGCAACCCACAUGGAAAGAAAUGUGCUGGUUGGUGGGGUUCAUGGAACCAUGAGAACAGUCUGAUCUCUAUCCUUCUCCUCCUCAUCCUUAGACACAAGACUGCAGACUUGUUUAUAGAUUCUGAGCAAAAUAAAUCUAUGGGACAGCUGUGGAAUCAAUUGGAUCACUGGUUGUUUUUCUGGGAGCUGAAUUAUGCUGUUCAGAGAUGUUUGAAGGUCUGAUCAACACUAUGAACAGGACAGCUGUAGGAUUAUGAGAACCAUUUAUCAUAUUUAUUUUGUGUUUUUCCUGGAGUCGCAUGAUAAUAUCCUGGAAUGUCAACACCGUAGCAUGUCCAGAUCAGGUUUCGAUUUUCUGAAUCUUGGUCAGUGGCUAGCAACUUAGCAUCAUAUGGUCAAAGGAAGCUAUCAUGCGAAUGAUUCAUCAGGCUUGACCGGUCAAAUUUGUAUAAAAUCCUCCAUUUGCAUUGCUCUUAAAAAAAAGCAUCCUCCACUUGGCCAUUAGGCUGAUUGCAAACUGCGCGGUCAAAUAUGUUAAAAAUAUAUUAGUGAGCAUGAAUCUGACUGACAAUGGACUUUUGGUAAUGUUUUUUUGAAGCAAGGAAUUGUGGCAAUGUAGAGUAGAGCUCCAAAGAGCAUUAUCUUGCUCUCUCUGUUGCUGUUGAGCCAUGUGCGCAAAGAAUUUAUCCUUGAUAUGGUUUGGUAUGAUUCCUGAGCGUAAAAAAGAGAGGCAUGACGAUCUUGGCAGUGCCUCCUGAUAAAUCCAUGACCCAUUCAUAUGGCAUGUUGCUUUUAGCAAUGGCUGUUUUUCUCUCUAACCCUUGCAGAGAACAGGCAAUGGUUCUGACUUGGCUUCCCUUUGUUUAUGUUACUUUGCCGAAGCUGAUGUCGGCUACCUUUGUUCAAGUGGAGAUUAAUAAAGUUAAUUCACACUGAUCGGUGAUUAGAUAUUUAACUAAUCUCUACCUGACUGCCUCGUAGUUGCCAAUGCACAGCCCAAUGCCCCAAUCCAAAAGAGAAGGGGUAAUUCUUACAGUAAAUUCUACUUUUUGAGAACGUACAGUAAAUUCUACACUUACGUUGAAAUCAGCUUCGUCCUGUAAUUUGUGAGUCACGGCUAUAGCAUUGGUUCUUCUCUUAUGUUUUCAAAAAAUAAAACAAUAAUAAUUCUUUUAUGUAUGAAGAUGGUAUAACUAUUCCUUUUUCAUGAAAUAAAUUCAGAAAAAAAAUGCGAGCAACCACUCCAGUAUUCGCAUUAUGGUUUUCCUUGAAGAGACGACGAUCAAGAUGAUAUCCAAAUGUCCGCAUCACGAUUCGUUUAACUUGAUUUUUAAUAAAAAGAGGCUAUGAGAUGAUGGGGAAUAAAUUACAUCAUGACUGUUCGAUAUGAUCGACACACAAAAUAAUGUGCUCUUGUUUUUUUAUGUUCAUUAUUGCCACCUGGCAUUAUAAUUUCAAAAGGGAAAAGAACACAGACGAGACCGCAAGCCUAAUGAUGAUUAACAUGUUAGAACACUAGCUGGCUUAAAACUUGGAGCAACAUCGAAGAUUAAUUUGACAAAUGUAGUACAGUGUAUACAUGAACAGAAAUCAAGACGGGUCACUAUGCUUAUUUGGCAUUUUAUUUGUGUAAGCAGGCAACAUCAAUUUCAGAAGGUUAUGGACAGAGUCCUAUCAUAUCUGCAAUGUUUCCUAACGCUUUUGUUCGUCGGAAGACUUGCCCAAGAGUUUGGUGCAAAAAGUCAAAGACGACAAGGAGAUCAUUAGAUCAAUGCGUGGUUAGUGGGGACGCAUGUUAUCCCAUUGAAAAUGAACGGCUUUCACUAUCGUUUUAGAUUUUAUUUUUAUACAUGCGUGUUGUGUCUUUGUUUAGUAUUAGUGUUCAUCCCAUUGCACGUCUUGGCACCUUCCUUCUCAUGCAUCUCUGCAAAAUUUUAAAAGGAAUCAUUAGGAUAUGCGUCUGCAAAAGUGGUAGUUCCAUACCACUAUAGUACGGUACCCCCACGGAAAUGAUCUUUCGAGAUAGGUCAGGACUUACCAGUGCCAUGGCAAAUGGGCUUCAUUUUCGUCUUUGCGCAGGUUGGCUUUCAUUGUCAAAUAAGUUUUAAUUAAUCAACAGGCCCAACAAGAUUACUAUUUUUAACACCUAGCCACUUUCACGAAAGAAAACAUUGCAAUGUCUGAUCGGUGAAAAUGUACAAGGACAUGUGCCAAAGAGUAUUGUAGCACUAGCAUGCCAUUGCCUUCAACAAUCAUGAUAGGGCCCGGUGAGAUAUGAGCUCUCAGUCUAAUUGAACGGAGGCCUCAUUGAGAGGUUGGAGAGUUUCUUGCCAUACUCCUACAGUCCUGCAUAGCAAUAGUCCCACAGCCUCAAAUUGGAUAAGCUGGGAAUUUGGUGAUCGACGCCUAUCAUAAUUGAUGAACUAGUUGUAGAUGAGUUUUCCCAUUAUUGGCACCUCGUAGGAUUGGAUAAUUGUGCUAACGUAGCAUCUUACCAACUGAAAACAAAUUAUGGAAAUAAUUUCGAAUCCUGACGACGUGCCACGAUUAAUUUGAUAAUAAGGGUGCCACCUUCAAGUUUUCAGAUAACUUCAGUAUAUUUGUAUAAAAAGAUGAUACAAAAAUUUUAGUAUAUUAAACAGAAGCUCCAACAAUGUAGUGAUAAACUAUUAGAUAAAUAAAUAAAAGAAAUAGAAAAGUAAUGGAAAGGGGUAGUUUCCGACCACGUUGUCUUCCUCCUCUCUCCUCUCUCCUCCCCCCUCUGCGCUCUCUCCUCGCGAAGGGAGGCGAAGGCGAUAACCACCGACAUGCUCCCCCACAUGCCCUAGCGAUCCGUUCCCAUUUGUAGACCCAAUCCAAGGCCCGAGCAAUCACCAAACCUAGCCGUGUAGAUUUCCACCCUCACAUGGAGGAAAAAUCCAACCUUGGCAUGUGACCUCUCCUUAAAUCCCCCGCAGGAACCAAUCCAUCAAUCCCAGAGGGGAGAGAAGAACAGAGCAAUCCCGUUGCUCCUCAUCUUCGCCUUCCUGUUGGCGUUUCUCCUCUGUUCUUCGGCCUGCGCGGCCGCAUAAACCUCCGCUAAAGCUCCUCUGUCGCGCCCAAUUCGUCGGCCAUUUCCCCAGGAAUCCCCAAAGGCGAGAGCCCCCCACGCCAAGAUCCAAUCCUUCGAGUUAUUCGGUUCCAAUCCGUGUAGAUUUCCCCGGAAAGCUCCCAGAAUAGUAGCCGGAAUUGGAAAAGGUUUCCAUUUCUGAUUGGUCGACGGUGCGAAUUCGUCGAGCCUCGCCGCGGUUUUUUCCAGGAAGGGCAGGCCGUCCGUACGGUUACGGUUCUUGAUCCGGGGAGGAAUCACCGCCGGCGAAAGGAAAUGCAGCCGGACCCGCAAGGCCCGGGCAGGGGAAAGGCGGGCGGCGCCAAUGCGCACGCCCGGCUGCCGCCGCCGGUGACGACGGGGUCGGCGGGGCGGCCGGCGUCGGUGCUGCCGCACAAGACGGACAACGUGCGCGACCACUACCGCAUCGGGAAGAAGCUGGGGCAGGGGCAGUUCGGCACCACGUACCAGUGCGUGGGCAAGGCGGACGGCGCCGAGUACGCCUGCAAAUCCAUCCCCAAGCGCAAACUGCUGUGCCGCGAGGACUACGAGGACGUGUGGCGCGAGAUCCAGAUCAUGCACCACCUUUCCGAGCACCCCAACGUCGUCCGCAUCCGCGGCGCCUACGAGGACGCGCUCUUCGUGCAUCUCGUCAUGGAGCUCUGCGCCGGCGGCGAGCUCUUCGACCGCAUCGUCGCCAAGGGACACUACAGCGAGCGCGCCGCCGCGCAGCUCAUCAGGACGAUCGUCGGGGUGGUGGAGGGAUGCCACUCGCUCGGCGUCAUGCACCGGGACCUCAAGCCGGAGAACUUCCUCUUCGCGAGCACUGCAGAGGAUGCCCCGCUCAAGGCCACUGAUUUUGGGCUAUCGGUGUUCUACAAGCCCGGUGCGUAUCUGUGCAAUUGUUUGUGCUGACGUUUAAUAUUUGUGCUGUACAAUGUUGCUAUUUGGUUCACUUGAUGCGGCAAUGGUAUGCGCGCUAACUGCUAGCAUUGGGUUUGGUAGGGAGUACUGCUCUUCAUAGAUAGUUUUGAUACACCAGCAAGCAUGUUAACAUUUCAUUUCCAUAUGUGGCUCAUUUUGUUAGAAUAUAAAGAAUCCCUGUCAAAAUGUUGCUAACAUGAGAACUAGUAUAUAUUAGUACUGGGGACAAAUAAAUCUGCGUUGCAACUAGAAUACUUGUCAAUAGCAAUAGGCCAAUAAGCCUUUCAAGGUUGAUGGCAAGAACUGUCUUCUCUCGUAGAACUGUAACAGAUUUUGUGACAAAUGUGGUGUUGUGGUUAAAGUAGUGUUUAAUGAAGUCUUCAGUUAAUGCUGUGCUUUAUUCUGUUUUGCUUGAAGUGAUUAACAGAACACACACUGAAAGAUAUUCCUUGCUAUAUCUCCAGGUGACAAAUUUGCUGACGUUGUUGGUAGCCCCUAUUAUGUUGCCCCUGAGGUGCUCCAGAAAUGCUAUGGCCCAGAAGCUGAUGUCUGGAGUGCUGGAGUUAUUCUGUAUAUUUUGCUAUGUGGUGUACCCCCAUUCUGGGCAGGUAAAUUGUUUGUUAUUCCAACCAUUGAAUUUCUACGUUGAGAUUGAUUGUCGUUUACUGAUAUUAGCAUGUUUCCAUAUGUAAAAUCUUCCUGUUUCCCCCUCCUUUCAGAAAGUGAAGCUGGAAUCUUCAGGCAGAUUUUGCGAGGCAAACUUGACUUGGAAUCUGAACCAUGGCCAAGUAUCUCUGAUAGUGCUAAAGAUCUAGUCCGUAAGAUGCUUAUCCGGGAUCCUACGAAGAGAUUGACUGCUCAUGAGGUUCUAUGUAAGUUUUCUGCCUACAUGCCCUCCCUCUCUCUGUCUGAGAUUCUGUAUGCAUGCUUGUGCUCCUGGGUCAUGGAAGUUCGUUCUUAUUAAACAUGGUGACAUUGACUAUGCCAGGUCAUCCAUGGAUUGUUGAUGAUGCUGUCGCACCUGAUAAGCCUAUUGAUUCUGCUGUUUUGUCAAGGCUGAAAAACUUUUCUGCAAUGAACAAGCUUAAGAAGAUGGCAUUGAGGGUAAGAAGAACUUCAUUUUUCUCAAAUAAGAACUUUUAUCCCAUUGAUGUGUGAUUAUGUUGCAAACGAAAUUCAGUACUGCAAUGUUACGGUCAGUGCGUCAUUUCUAUUAUGACACUGCCUUACUGCCUACUGUGUUGUGCACUCAAGUUAACUUCAUAUGAAUCUUUUCCUUUCUCUUUCUCCUGGUUUUCCAUGUUAACUGGAUUUUUUGUGCACUUUAAAUCUGUAUUUGUCCCCUUUAAUUUUUAGAAAGCCCAAUUUACACACAUCUGCUUAAAAACCAAAGCUUUUGAAACCAGUCAUUUAGCCGCCUGUUCUUUUUAAUGGCAGUUCUGCCACACCAACCAUCGAUGUCACACACUCACACAGUCCCAAUAAACAAAAAAGCUGGCCUACAUGUCACCUUUCAUACAAUUCACAGAACCUGUUUCUUUCCAAAAGAACAGUCCUCCCAGAUCCAACCCUGUUGUCUCCAAUCCCUUCAGCUGCACUAGUGCGAGACCUGGAUGCCAGCCAUGGUAUUCUAUGACUACCGACCACAAAAGCCAUUGAACCCAUGGCUAAAGACUGCUUGACACUAGCAGCAGGAGGCCACUAAUGGUAGCAACGGUAAGAUGUCAGAAAGGUGAGUGACUGUAGGUGGUGAGCAUCUGUAUGGUGGUGAGCUGCAAACUGGUUAGCGACUGGACCUCAUUGUUUUACACAUUACUACUGUGCACUUCUAUUGCUUGAUUGAGUGGGGUUUGCACUGCCAACAUCUCAUGUCUAGUUCCACCCAUUGACCCACCUUGGUGACCACGCUACCAUCACCCUCUUAGUUCAACAAUGCCUUGGUCAUGUUCACCUCUUGUUGUCCUUGUUUGUUUGUUGAUUCGGGAGGACAAUUUCAAUAUUAGUGACAGGAAGCAGUAAAUGCUAAGAUCUGGGGCUGUGUUGCAUUGGUAGCAGCAAUGGCACACCGGAUUUGACCAAGUGUUCUCAGAUAAGGGCAUUAGGAAGCAUUUGAUUUUGGGAAAGGAGGUUUCAUGGGCAGUAUGGUCAGUGGUCAUCUGAUGCAAGGAAUGAAGGGACCAGGAGUUUCAAAACAGAUUCUUUUUGUUGGAAGAGAAGAGGUUCUUUGUUUUGGCUUAAGUGUCUGACACAAUUCUAAAACAACUAAUGCUCGGUUUUUCACUAUGGGGUUUUACAAUAUUGUUUGCUUGAACUCUAGAUUAACUGGUUUCUCGCAUAACAGGCAUGGCAUAAGGUUGCAAAUGUUUAAUAAGAGGUGAUGGUAUGUGCAAUGACCAUGGAAAUUGAUCUUUUCAGAUGAAUCUUUUUGUUCGUGCAGGUGAUUGCUGAAAGCCUAUCUGAGGAGGAGAUCGGGGGCUUAAAGGAGUUGUUCAAAAUGAUCGAUACUGACAACAGUGGGACGAUAACUUAUGAUGAACUGAAGAACGGUCUGAAAAGGGUGGGGUCGGAUCUGAUGGAACCUGAAAUCCAGGCUUUAAUGGAUGCAGUAAGUACUACUAUUGCGUCGAGUCUAUUGUCCACAUAAAAUAGAUGCACUGUAGCAGCCUUUGAUUGUAUGGACCGUUGAGAUUGUAAUCUGGGUUUGUCUUGUAUAUCAGGCUGAUAUUGACAACAGUGGAACCAUUGACUAUGGAGAGUUCUUGGCAGCUACAUUGCACAUGAAUAAACUGGAGAGGGAGGAAAGCUUGGUGUCAGCGUUUGCAUUCUUUGACAAGGAUGGGAGUGGCUUCAUAACAAUUGAUGAGCUUUCACAAGCAUGCCAACAGUUUGGUCUUUCUGAUGUUCAUCUUGAGGAUAUGAUCAAAGAUGUGGAUCAAAACAAUGUUGGUCUUCUUAACCCCUCUUGUUCUUUGAAUCCUUCUCCAUACUUGUCCUAUUGUCUCAUUAUUAUGCAUCAUUUUUCAGGAUGGACAAAUUGAUUAUAGCGAGUUUGCGGCGAUGAUGAGAAAGGGCAAUGCUGGUGGAGCAGGAAGGCGGACCAUGAGGAACAGCUUGCAUGUGGAUCUUGGUGAACUUUUGAAGCCCGCUGAGAGCUAAUUGGUAUCAGAGGAUUCUGCUUUCCAGAUGCUCCCAUAUGCCAAUUGAGCAGUUGAUCUAUUACCAAUGCCACCAAAAAGCUGUUAAAUUUCUGCAGUGGUACUAGUAGUUAGUGGAAAGAGCAUACUAUGGUACAAGUGUAACAAAAUUUAGGUGCUAUGAUGCUACUUAGGAGUCCUGUUGUCUUGUCAUGAAUGUUGUUGAUAAUUCUCAGGUUUGUACCAUUACUGAUUUUUGUUUCCAGUGUACACUGCCGUUGUCCUAUAAGGUAGGCAUCUAGAUCUGUCCAUUUGAAUUACCAAUCCAUUUGUAAACAUGUUCUCAUCACAAACCUAUUUCUUAUUGAUGAUUUCUCAAAAUCUCUGUUUUUCACAUUACAAUAUCAGGGAUGGUUACAAUCAUUUGUCAGGUAUUUGCUCUGGUUGUCCAGGAAAGAAUCAUGUGUAUCUCCAUCCAGUAAUUUCUUGAAUACAACCAAUGAAAGAUGGGUACAGUUCGUCUAUUCCCGUAUACGACAGGUUGGAACAGUUCGUCCAUUUCCGUAUACGAAAGAUUGGAACAGUUCGUCCAUUUCCGUAGACGACAGAUUAGAACAGUUCGUCCAUUUCCGUAUACGUGGAUCAAUGUCUCAUGUGUUGUGACAGAUGAUAUGCAGGAGCGCGACAUGACCGGACGCCCCUGGAUCGCCAUUGCUUGCCUGCAGAGCUCUCCACACCGCGCAUGGCAACAAACAACUCGUAGCUGCAGCCGUUGGCAUCACCAGAAGCCCCCAAGAAAUCCGCGGCGUUCUGCGAAAACCACGAUGACAAACCGUGGGAAUCGAUGGAUGGAUGUCCACCGCAGGCGCGCAUCUACGGGCAACAGUUGCUGGUUUGGCGCGCCCACAGAAACCUCCCUGUCAGCCUCAUCACCCAAAGCCGGGAUCCUUUUUUUUAUAGAUAUAUAUAUAAUAAACUGGGAUCCUUAUUGAAAUUUUGAGGCCAGCAACAUUCAGGCAAUCCCAUGGUUGAGCUGCCACGAAGAUUCCAGAGUUGAGCUGUCCCUUUUUCUCUGAACUUUUUGUCAUUUUUUUACAGCACACAGUUAAAAUGGGAUGGAAAUCACAGAAAAGAUCUUCCCUAGAAUCAGGAAUCCGGAUCAGGACAAAACAAAAAGGAGGUGAUAACCGUGCAUGGUCCUACUCUUUUGAAGAGACCAUGGGAACCAGUGAGAAGCAGCCACUCCAUCCACUGAAAUCCAGAGGGCAGCAACCUCAGCCUCACAACGCAUGUCUUUUUAUCCUUCCUUCCCUUGUCCAGCCACCACUGGUUUACCUGGCAGAAACCUUAAAUAUGUGAUGUGGCUGCAGCUCUCACCCCAAGGAAGGAGACACUCCAUUCGUUGUUCACUGGUGUGAACCUGAGGCCACUGCCAGCCUGAGCUGAGCUGAACUUCAGAAGACAGCAAGAGCAUCGAGGAAGAAGAAGAUGGCCUCUGCUACCCUGCUCAAGUCCUCCUUCCUUCCCAAGAAGUCGGAAUGGGGCGCCGCCAGGCAGCUCACCGCGCCCCGGCCGGUCACCGUCUCCGUGGUCGUCCGCGCCAGCGCCUACGCCGAUGAGCUCGUCAAGACAGCGGUGCGUUCGUCGUUUCUUCACUAGUGGCCGAUCGAAACUGUCACUAUCGCCAUCUUGCUUGCUGAAAGAAAUAAUGAUGACAUGGUGAGUUGCAGAAAACGAUCGCGUCGCCUGGGCGCGGCAUCCUGGCCAUGGACGAGUCGAACGCGACGUGCGGGAAGCGGCUGGCGUCCAUCGGGCUGGAGAACACGGAGGCCAACCGGCAGGCGUACAGGACGCUGCUGGUCACCGCGCCGGGGCUGGGCAACUACAUCUCCGGCGCCAUCCUUUUCGAGGAGACGCUCUACCAGUCCGCCGUCGACGGCCGCCGGAUCGUCGACAUCCUCACCGAGCAGGGCAUCGUGCCCGGGAUCAAGGUCGACAAGGGCCUCGUCCCGCUCGCCGGCUCCAACGACGAGUCCUGGUGCCAGGGCCUCGACGGCCUCGCCGCCCGCGAGGCCGCCUACUACCAGCAGGGCGCCCGAUUCGCCAAGUGGCGCACCGUCGUCAGCAUCCCCAACGGGCCAUCCGAGCUCGCCGUCAAGGAGGCCGCAUGGGGGCUCGCCCGCUACGCCGCCAUCUCGCAGGUACGCCUUCUUGCUUGCUUCUAGCCAUGGAGAUAGUUCAUCCAGCUAAUUAAUAAAAGCUAACACCGAUGGAAUGGAAUCGACCGAGCAGGACAACGGACUUGUGCCGAUCGUAGAGCCGGAGAUCCUGCUGGACGGCGAGCACGGCAUCGAGCGGACCUUCGAGGUGGCGCAGAAGGUGUGGGCCGAGACCUUCUACGCCAUGGCGGAGAACAACGUCAUGUUCGAGGGCAUCCUGCUCAAGCCAUCCAUGGUGACGCCGGGCGCCGAGGCUAAGGACCGGGCCACGCCGGAGCAGGUCGCCGAGUACACCCUGAAGCUCCUCCACCGCCGCAUCCCGCCCUCCGUCCCCGGCAUCAUGUUCCUCUCCGGCGGGCAGUCGGAGGUGGAGGCGACGCAGAACCUCAACGCCAUGAACCAGGGGCCCAACCCGUGGCACGUGUCCUUCUCCUACGCGCGGGCGCUGCAGAACACCUGCCUCAAGACGUGGGGCGGCGUGCCGGAGAACGUCAAGGCGGCGCAGGACGCGCUGCUGCUGCGCGCCAAGGCCAACUCGCUGGCGCAGCUCGGCAAGUACACCUCCGACGGCGAGGCCGCCGAGGCCAAGGAGGGCAUGUUCGUCAAGAACUACAGCUACUAAUUCAUCGGCUAGCAACUCCGACGAUACAUACUGGUUACGCAAGCUAAGCACGUCUUCGCCGUGAUGAUCCAUGCAUGGUGCUCAUCGAUGCUUUGUGCGUGCCGUUAGUUACUACUGCUAGCUACU
rnacentral:lncRNA from 1 species